CAGCCACUACAAAGUACUCCUGCUUCAAUCUGAGCUCCUUACCCUCAAAAAACUACAAGAAGACAGGGACUGAAAGCUUCAGGCAGUCAGACUAUUAAAGGUAAUUUAAACUACCUGCCAGCCAUUGGAGAUUUUCUGGUUGAAGAUACCAAACUCAUAACGGAUGCCAUAACCAUAGGCAGCCAGGCCGAGAGAAGCCAUAGAGUCCAGGAAGCAAGCUAACAAACAAAAACAGAGAGAGACCAAGGACUUUUUCAAAACAUCUAUACCGAAGAUGAUGGUUCCUCUUUCAAACCUGAGGUCAGAUUACUAACCGGCAAGACGGCCAAGGCCUCCAUUUCCCAGUCCAGCAUCUUCCUCCAUCUCCUGCAGCUCCUCC